rnacentral:rRNA from 1 species
GACAGAGGGUGCAAACGUUGUUCGGAAUUACUGGGCGUAAAGCGAGUGUAGGCGGUCUGCUAAGUCGGGUGUGAAAGCCCUGGGCUCAACCCAGGAAGUGCACUCGAAACUGGCGGGCUAGAGUAUCGGAGAGGUUGGUGGAAUUCUCGGUGUAGAGGUGAAAUUCGUAGAUAUCGGGAGGAACACCGGUGGCGAAGGCGGCGAUCUGGGUAGAUACUGACGCUGAGGUGCGAAAGCGUGGGGAGCAAACAGG